rnacentral:rRNA from 1 species
GAUGAACGCUGGCGGCGUGCCUAACACAUGCAAGUCGAACGGAAAGGCUCCUGCUUGCAGGGGUACUCGAGUGGCGAACGGGUGAGUAACACGUGGGUGAUCUGCCCUGCACUUCGGGAUAAGCCUGGGAAACUGGGUCUAUUACCGGAUAGGACGAUGGUUUGGAUGCCAUUGUGGAAUGUUUUUCGGUGUGGGAUGAGCUCGCGGCCUAUCAGCUAGUUGGUGGGGUAAUGGCCUACCAAGGCGUCGACGCGUAGCUGGCCUGAGAGGAGGUACAGCCAGGACGGGAAUGAGACACGGACCAGAACGGGAGGGGGCGGAGGAGAGGGGAGUACUAGAGGCGGGAGCCAGAUGUAACGAAGCCGCGUGGGGUGAGACGGGAAGGGGGUAGGGUACUCAAGUCGCUAGGGACGAGACGAAAAUGACGGUACCUGGAGAAGAAGCACCGGCUAACUACGUG